UUGCCAGACUCCUACGGGAGGCAGCAGUAGGGAAUUUUGCGCAAUGGGGGAAACCCUGACGCAGCAACGCCGCGUGAUCGAUGAAGCCCUUCGGGGUGUAAAGAUCUGUCAGUGGGGACGAAACCUGACGGUACCCACAGAGGAAGCACCGGCUAACUCCGUGCCAGCAGCCGCGGUAAUACGGGGGGUGCAAGCGUUAUCCGGAUUUACUGGGUGUAAAGGGGGCGCAGACGGCAGCGCAAGCCAGGAGUGAAAGCCCGGGGCCCAACCCCGGGACUGCUCUUGGAACUGCGCGGCUGGAGUGCAGGAGGGGCAGGCGGAAUUCCUGGUGUAGCGGUGAAAUGCGUAGAUAUCAGGAGGAACACCGGUGGCGAAGGCGGCCUGCUGGACUGCGACUGACGUUGAGGCCCGAAAGCGUGGGGAGCAAACAGGAUUAGAUACCCUGGUA
rnacentral:rRNA from 1 species